rnacentral:siRNA from 1 species
UAUCGCUGGAAGUCUCAUAGCCA